rnacentral:rRNA from 1 species
GACGAACGCUGGCGGCGUGCUUAACACAUGCAAGUCGAACGGAAAGGCCCCUUUGUGGGUCCUCGAGUGGCGAACGGGUGCGUAACACGUGAGUAACCUGCCCUUGACUUCGGGAUAACUUCAGGCAACUGGGGCUAAUACCGGAUAGGAAUCCUUGCUGCAUGGUGGGGGUUUGAAAGCUUCGGCGGUUUUGGAUGGACUCGCGGCUUAUCAGCUUGUUGGUGGGGUAGUGGCUUACCAAGGCUUUGACGGGUAGCCGGCCUGAGAGGGCGACCGGCCACAAUGGGGCUGGGAUAAGGCCCAGACUCCUACGGGAGGCAGCAGGGGGGAAUAUUGGAAAAUGGGGGGAAGGCUGAUGCAGCAACGCCGCGUGCGGGAUGACGGGCUUCGGGUUGUAAACCGCUUUCAGCAGGGGAGAAGGUUGUGGUGACGGUACCUGCAGAAGAAGCACCGGCUAACUACGUG